rnacentral:lncRNA from 1 species
UCUUAAGUGAAAGUUAAUUGAUCAAUCAUUCCUAGAUCGAUCAUUUAUUCCUAUCGUCAUAGUAAAACAAAUGAUUGAAAUCAUCACACAAUUGAUCAAGUCAUGUAAAGCAUUAAGCAUAAGGAAAAAUUGAAUAAACUAACUUCGUAAUUCAUUGAUCAUAACAUAUGAUAAUCACAUGGUUCAAGAAAAAUAAUAAUCAGAAUCCCCUAAAGACCAAUCAUGAAAAUUUAGCUAGACAUAAUAUUUAAAGAAACAAGCAUGAUGAAAAGGAAUAAACCCAAGAUGGAUUGCUUUGCUCUUCACGUUGCCUUCCUUUGCUUCUUCAAUUUCUCUUCCGU